UCUCCGUUGGUGAACCAGCGGAGGGAUCAUUACUAAGUUGCAAAACUCCCAAACCAUCGUGAACGCUACCUAUAUCGUUGCUUCUGCGGGCGUCGCGCCCUCGCCCUCGGCCCCCCAGGGGCCCGCCGGAUACCCAACCAUUGCUUGAAUUUUCGUAUCCUUUCUGAGACUUAUGUAAUAAAUAACUCAAAACUUUCAAUAACGGAUCUCUUCGUUCUGGCAUCGAUGAAGAACGCAGAAGGUCGGAAGGAACCACGGCCGAACUUCAGUCACGGUCAC
rnacentral:misc_RNA from 1 species